rnacentral:rRNA from 1 species
UACGAAGGGGACUAGCGUUGUUCGGAAUCACUGGGCGUAAAGCGCACGUAGGUGGAUUUGUAAGUCAGGGGUGAAAUCCCGGAGCUCAACUUCGGAACUGCCUUUGAUACAGCACGUCUUGAGUCCGAUAGAGGUGGGUGGAAUUCCUAGUGUAGAGGUGAAAUUCGUAGAUAUUAGGAAGAACACCAGUGGCGAAGGCGGCUCACUGGUCCGGUACUGACGCUGAGGUGCGAAAGCGUGGGGAGCAAACAG